rnacentral:rRNA from 1 species
CUAAUACAUGCAAGUCGAGCGAACGGACGAGAAGCUUGCUUCUCUGAUGUUAGCGGCGGACGGGUGAGUAACACGUGGAUAACCUACCUAUAAGACUGGGAUAACUUCGGGAAACCGGAGCUAAUACCGGAUAAUAUUUUGAACCGCAUGGUUCAAAAGUGAAAGACGGUCUUGCUGUCACUUAUAGAUGGAUCCGCGCUGCAUUAGCUAGUUGGUAAGGUAACGGCUUACCAAGGCAACGAUGCAUAGCCGACCUGAGAGGGUGAUCGGCCACACUGGAACUGAGACACGGUCCAGACUCCUACGGGAGGCAGCAGUAGGGAAUCUUCCGCAAUGGGCGAAAGCCUGACGGAGCAACGCCGCGUGAGUGAUGAAGGUCUUCGGAUCGUAAAACUCUGUUAUUAGGGAAGAACAUAUGUGUAAGUAACUGUGCACAUCUUGACGGUACCUAAUCAGAAAGCCACGGCUAACUACGUGCCAGCAGCCGCGGUAAUACGUAGGUGGCAAGCGUUAUCCGGAAUUAUUGGGCGUAAAGCGCGCGUAGGCGGUUUUUUAAGUCUGGUGUGAAAGCCCACGGCUCAACCGUGGAGGGUCAUUGGAAACUGGAAAACUUGAGUGCAGAAGAGGAAAGUGGAAUUCCAUGUGUAGCGGUGAAAUGCGCAGAGAUAUGGAGGAACACCAGUGGCGAAGGCGACUUUCUGGUCUGUAACUGACGCUGAUGUGCGAAAGCGUGGGGAUC